GACGAACGCUGGCGGCGUGCCUAAUACAUGCAAGUAGAACGCUGAAGGAGGAGCUUGCUUCUCCGGAUGAGUUGCGAACGGGUGAGUAACGCGUAGGUAACCUGCCUGGUAGCGGGGGAUAACUAUUGGAAACGAUAGCUAAUACCGCAUAACAGUAGAUAUUGCAUGAUAUCUGCUUGAAAGGUGCAAUUGCAUCACUACCAGAUGGACCUGCGUUGUAUUAGCUAGUUGGUGGGGUAACGGCUCACCAAGGCGACGAUACAUAGCCGACCUGAGAGGGUGAUCGGCCACACUGGGACUGAGACACGGCCCAGACGCCUACGGGAGGCAGCAGUAGGGAAUCUUCGGCAAUGGACGGAAGUCUGACCGAGCAACGCCGCGUGAGUGAAGAAGGUUUUCGGAUCGUAAAGCUCUGUUGUAAGAGAAGAACGAGUGUGGGAGUGGAAAGUUCACACUGUGACGGUAUCUUACCAGAAAGGGACGGCUAACUACGUG
rnacentral:rRNA from 1 species